AACGAACGCUGGCGGCGUGCUUAACACAUGCAAGUCGUGCGUGAAAGGGGCUUCGGCCCUGAGUAAAGCGGCAGACGGGUGAGUAACACGUGGGUAACCUACCCCUUGGCGGGGGAUAACCACUCGAAAGGGUGGCUAAUACCGCAUAAGACCACGUCCCUGCGGGGAUGAGGUAAAAGGCUUCGGCCGCCAUGGGAGGGGCCCGCGGCUGAUUAGCUAGUUGGUGAGGUAACGGCUCACCAAGGCGACGAUCAGUAGCUGGUCUGAGAGGAUGAUCAGCCACACUGGUACUUAGACACGGACCAGACUCCGACGGGAGGCAGCAGGGGGGAAUAUUGCGCAAUGGGCGAAAGCCUGACGCAGCAACGCCGCGUGGGUGAAGAAGGCCUUUGGGUCGUAAAGCCCUGUCAGAUGGGAAGAAACCUGCGCAAGCAGCUGACGGUACCAUCAAAGGAAGCACCGGCUAACUCCGUGCCAGCCGCCGCCGUAAAAC
rnacentral:rRNA from 1 species